rnacentral:rRNA from 1 species
GACGAACGCUGGCGGCGUGCCUAACACAUGCAAGUCGAACGAAAAGGCCCUGCUCUUGUUGCUUGCUCGAGUGGCGCACGGGUGAGUAACACGUGUGUAUCCCGCCCUUGUCUUUGGGAUAACUUCAGGAAACUGGGGCUAAUACCGGAUAGGAGCUCCUGCUGCAUGGUGUGGGUUGGAAAGUUUCGGCGGUUGGGGAUGGACUGGCGGCUUAUGAGCUUGUUGGUGGGGUAGUGGCGGACCAAGGCUUAGACGGGUAGCCGGCCUGAGAGGGUGAACGGGCACAAUGGGACUGAGAGACGGACCAGACUCGUACGGGAGGCAGCAGGCGGGAAUAUUGCAGAAUGGGCGGAAGCCUGAUGCAGAAACGCCGCGUGCGGGAUGACGGCUUUCGGGUUGUAAACCGCUUUCGCCUGUGACGAAGCGUGAGUGACGGUAAUGGGUAAAGAAGCACCGGCUAACUACGUG